GCCGGGUGUGCAGUGGCGCGCGCCUGUAAUCCAAGUGACCGGGAGGCUGAGGCUGGCGGAGCGUUUGAGCUCAGGAGCUCUGAGCUGCAGCGGACUGUGCCGAUCGGGUGUCCGCACUAAGUUCGGUAUCGAUAUGGUGAUCCUGGGGGAGCCCGGGACCAGCAGGUCGUCUAAAGAGGGGUGCACCGGUCCAGGUCGGAGACGGAGCAGGUCAAAGCCCCCGUGCCGCUCAGUAGUGGGGUCGCGCCUGUGAAUAGACGCUGCAGCGCAGCCUGAGUAAUACAGCGGGACCCAUUCUCUU
ensembl:misc_RNA Metazoa_SRP Metazoan signal recognition particle RNA